rnacentral:tRNA from 1 species
AAAAAGAUAAGCUAAUUAAGCUAAUGGGUUCAUACCCCUUUUAUAAAGGUCCUAAUCCUUUUCUUUUUA